CAGGGUUAAAAAAACUUUUUUUUAUCAGUCAGAGGAUAAUGCAAGUGUUUAACAGAUGCUUCACUAUUAAAAUAUUUCCCCCCCAAGUCUCAAAUAUUGAAGAAUCUCUAACCAGGGACACCAGUCCCUACGAAGACCUUGGGCGAUUUUGAAGUGCGGGCACCUCGAUUCCCCGAAUCUGUAGUGUGGCUGGUAUCGGUGUUCCCCUGGUUUAACUAGCCUGUUUGAAGGCACAGAUCAUUCAUGGGGAAGUAUAACCGAAACCAGUCCUCUCCACCCCCUGGGGAUCUUCACUUUCCCAGUCUACAACUGCCUGUGACUCCAGAAAGACAAACUGCAGAUUGGCCAAGCUGCCUGAAGACCCAGCCCGACAGCGAUGCCUGUCAGCCCGCGUCGCCCACCAGGGCAGCUGCUCUCCCGACUCGCAUGGGGGGCACCACCCCGCCUCGGUGCCCUAGAGCUGAGCGCAGCCGCGGCUCCACGGGGAUCGCCAGGGCCUCAGCCCUCGCGGCCGGCGGCGCGGGAGUGUUGCGGGGCAGGGACCAGAGCGCGAUCAGAGCGGCCAACCCCCGAUUUAGGUCGCCAGCUUUCCAGUCACUGCGAUGGCCACUGGGGCGCCCCUUCCAUCCUGGUUAAAUUCUCAUUGUGAUCCCCAGCCCUCUUCUCGGUUCCCCACACCCAGGAGGCCGGUUCUCCGCCGCUCAGGCUGGGAGAGGUCACCGCUCCGGGCAGGGUGGACCCCCAGCUCCGUCUCGGAGGACCUUUCGCCGGAGGCGAGCAGGAAGGGGUUAACCAUGAGCCUCCCACCCUCACCUCCCAGACCCUGGUGCCGGGCGAAGGCCUCCGCUUCCCUCCUGAGGUCUCAUUAGGAAACCCUCACCGCUAUUUUCAACAUUUCCUCAAUCAAGUGUCUUUAAAUAGAGCUGCACAAACAGAUUGGCGGCAAAAGCGUAGAUCUUGUCACGAUUGAGACCAAUCCAGUAUUUCAGCCUUGUUUGCUUUGCAAUUACGGGUUGGCUUGUGGCUACGGUGCCACCGGGGCAAAUCUGCAGCCGCUCGCUUUCUCCUCUGCACUCCGGGCGGGUGGAGGAAGCGACCCGCGGAGUCACUGCAGGGAGGAGAAGGGGACGCGCGCGGGGGGAGGCGGCGGAGGGCGGAGGAGCCUCGCUUGCACCCCAGGGCCGCGGGCACGCAGAGCUGUGUUGAAGGACAUACUUUUCAGGUUCCUGACAGUCACUGAGCUAUACGCAAUAAUAAAGUGCGUGAUUCGCGUGUGGAAACCAGUGUCGUGUCCUUACCAGCUUCCUUUUCUGUCCACCUUCCCUCUCUCUUCUACCUCCGUUUCGCUUUUCUUCAGUGCAUGUUAGCGGUUUGCUGGAUUUCCCUUCUCCCUCGCUGUUCAACUGCUAGCAUGAUUUGUUACAUUUUCCACAGCUGUUUAUUCUUGUUUGACUUUUUGUACAAAGUCACUUUAAAUCUGCUGCAGAAAGAAUAAAGCUCCUAGCCCUUUGGAUGGACUCCUGCAGGCGUGUGGCUGUCCCUGGCCCACUUUUAAUUCUUUGGAGAUGGCUCUUCUGUGUAAAUCAGCUGUUGGGUGCGUUCGGUCACCUCGUAGGCCAGCCUAGUUUGUAUCAGCAGAACAGUAGUGGACUCAACUCAGGUCGUAAGCCUUAUAUUUCACAGACAAUUAAAUCUUGG
rnacentral:lncRNA from 1 species